CGAGUUCCUCCAACCCCUGUGACAUACCACUUGUUGCCUCGGCGGAUCAGCCCGCUCCCGGUAAAACGGGACGGCCCGCCAGAGGACCCCUAAACUCUGUUUCUAUAUGUAACUUCUGAGUAAAACCAUAAAUAAAUCAAAACUUUCAACAACGGAUCUCUUGGUUCUGGCAUCGAUGAAGAACGCAGCAAAAUGCGAUAAGUAAUGUGAAUUGCAGAAUUCAGUGAAUCAUCGAAUCUUUGAACGCACAUUGCGCCCGCCAGUAUUCUGGCGGGCAUGCCUGUUCGAGCGUCAUUUCAACCCUCAAGCACAGCUUGGUGUUGGGACUCGCGUUAAUUCGCGUUCCCCAAAUUGAUUGGCGGUCACGUCGAGCUUCCAUAGCGUAGUAGUAAAACCCUCGUUACUGGUAAUCGUCGCGGCCACGCCGUUAAACCCCAACUUCUGAAUGUUGACCUCGGAUCAGGUAGGAAUACCCGCUGAACUUAAGCAUAUCAAUAAGCGGAGGAA
rnacentral:rRNA from 2 species